AGUGAAUGCUGGCGGUAGGCCUAACACAUGCAAGUCGAACGGCAGCACAGUAAGAGCUUGCUCUUACGGGUGGCGAGUGGCGGACGGGUGAGGAAUACAUCGGAAUCUACUUUUUCGUGGGGGAUAACGCAGGGAAACUUACGCUAAUACCGCAUACGACCUACGGGUGAAAGCAGGGGAUCUUCGGACCUUGCGCGAUUGAAUGAGCCGAUGUCGGAUUAGCUAGUUGGCGGGGUAAAGGCCCACCAAGGCGACGAUCCGUAGCUGGUCUGAGAGGAUGAUCAGCCACACUGGAACUGAGACACGGUCCAGACUCCUACGGGAGGCAGCAGUGGGGAAUAUUGGACAAUGGGCGCAAGCCUGAUCCAGCCAUACCGCGUGGGUGAAGAAGGCCUUCGGGUUGUAAAGCCCUUUUGUUGGGAAAGAAAAGCAGCAGGUUAAUACCCCGCUGUUCUGACGGUACCCAAAGAAUAAGCACCGGCUAACUUCGUG
rnacentral:rRNA from 1 species